GAUGAACGCUGGCGGCGUGCCUAAUACAUGCAAGUCGAGCGAACAGAUGAGGAGCUUGCUCCUCUGACGUUAGCGGCGGACGGGUGAGUAACACGUGGAUAACCUACCUAUAAGACUGGGAUAACUUCGGGAAACCGGAGCUAAUACCGGAUAAUAUAUUGAACCGCAUGGUUCAAUAGUGAAAGACGGUUUUGCUGUCACUUAUAGAUGGAUCCGCGCCGCAUUAGCUAGUUGGUAAGGUAACGGCUUACCAAGGCAACGAUGCGUAGCCGACCUGAGAGGGGGAUCGGCCACACUGGAACUGAGACACGGUCCAGACUCCUACGGGAGGCAGCAGUAGGGAAUCGUCCGCAAUGGGCGAAAGCCUGACGGAGCAACGCCGCGUGAGUGAUGAAGGUCUUCGGAUCGUAAAACUCUGUUAUUAGGGAAGAACAAAUGUGUAAGUAACUAUGCACGUCUUGACGGUACCUAAUCAGAAAGCCACGGCUAACUACGUG
rnacentral:rRNA from 1 species